rnacentral:rRNA from 1 species
GAUGAACGCUAGCGGCAGGCCUAACACAUGCAAGUCGAGGGGUAGAGGAAGCUUGCUUCCUUGAGACCGGCGCACGGGUGCGUAACGCGUAUGCAAUCUACCUUAUACAGGGGAAUAGCCCAGAGAAAUUUGGAUUAAUGCCCCAUAGUGUUAUUGAAUCGCAUGGUUUAAUAACUAAAGUUCCAACGGUAUAAGAUGAGCAUGCGUCCCAUUAGUUAGUUGGUAAGGUAACGGCUUACCAAGACAAUGAUGGGUAGGGGUCCUGAGAGGGAGAUCCCCCACACUGGUACUGAGACACGGACCAGACUCCUACGGGAGGCAGCAGUGAGGAAUAUUGGUCAAUGGGCGCAAGCCUGAACCAGCCAUGCCGCGUGCAGGAAGACGGUCCUAUGGAUUGUAAACUGCUUUUAUACAGGAAGAAACCCUCCACGUGUGGGAGAUUGACGGUACUGUAGGAAUAAGGAUCGGCUAACUCCGUGCCAGCAGCCGC